GCGGGCGUGGCGGAAUGGUAGACGCAGCGGACUUAAAAUCCGCAGGCCUUGGCCGUGAGGGUUCGAGUCCCUCCGCCCGUA
rnacentral:tRNA from 1 species